CGUGCUUAACACAUGCAAGUCGAACGAAAAUACCAAGCUUGCUUGGUUGAUUAGUGGCGAACGGGUGAGUAACACGUGAGUAACCUGCCCCUUACUUUCCUGGAUAACUGCUCGAAAGGGUAGCUAAUACGGGAUAUUCUGACCAUCCUGCAUGGGUUGGUUUGGAAAGGUUGUUUUUUCUGGUAAGGGAUGGGCUCGCGGCCUAUCAGCUUGUUGGUGGGGUGAUGGCCUACCAAGGCUUUGACGGGUAGCCGGCCUGAGAGGGUGGACGGUCACACUGGGACUGAGAUACGGCCCAGACUCCUACGGGAGGCAGCAGUGGGGAAUAUUGCACAAUGGGCGCAAGCCUGAUGCAGCGACGCCGCGUGAGGGAUGAAGGCCUUCGGGUUGUAAACCUCUUUCGUCAGGGAACAAGGCACUGCUUUUUUGGUGGUGUUGAGGGUACCUGGAUAAGAAGCGCCGGCUAACUACGUGCCAGCAGCCGCGGUAAUACGUAGGGCGCAAGCGUUGUCCGGAAUUAUUGGGCGUAAAGAGCUCGUAGGCGGCUGGUCGCGUCUGUCGUGAAAACUUCCGGCUCAACCGGGGGCUUGCGGUGGGUACGGGCCGGCUAGAGUGCGGUAGGGGUAACUGGAACUCCUGGUGUAGCGGUGGAAUGCGCAGAUAUCAGGAAGAACACCGAUGGCGAAGGCAGGUUACUGGGCCGUUACUGACGCUGAGGAGCGAAAGCGUGGGGAGCGAACAGGAUUAGAUACCCUGGUAGUCCACGCCGUAAACGUUGGGCACUAGGUGUGAGGCUCCUUUCCNGGGGGUUUUGCGCCGUAGCUAACGCAUUAAGUGCCCCGCCUG
rnacentral:rRNA from 1 species